UUAGGGAAAAGGAAGGCCGGUCAACAUGGAGGAGAAUGACACAGGAAAGGAGCUUCAUGUGGUAGCCAGGGGACCUUGGGGAGCUUAAAAGGAAGCUGUGUGAAAGAGUCUGAGCUUCUUCUUUUUUAAUGUAUGGCAUAGUCCAAAAAGAUGGAGUGUCUUAUGUGAGGAGCAACAGGAAGACCGAUAUCACUGAGAGUGCUUGAUGGAGAAUAAGAUCUAAGAGAAUUGUAAAGGUGACCCUGCAGUGUUCUAGGACUUGAUGCAACCAGUAUGAUGUCAUCUGUGAACAUGAGACUCUGGAGGACUUUAUCAUCUAUGAAGAAUCCUUCUUGUAUUCUUGACUUGGAUUCUGCACUGGAUCUCUUCCAUGACAGCAGGAAACACGCUUUGAAAAGCCUGUCUCCCUGUUUUAUCCUUCAUCUGCCAUUCAUGAUUAUAAUAUAGUCAAACCAA